UUUAUUUGAUCAUGUGUACAUUAUCAGCGUGUAACUCGGUCGAGUCUAGGAGUUAAUAGAGUUGCUAAAUUAAGUAAUUACAGGAUUAUGUAGUCUCCCUUAAUCUCUUUUAUGUAUACUUGUAAUUUCAAAAAAUAAGAGAAAAAGAAAAAAAUGAAAAUCUCAAAAAAAGGAGACAAGCAAAAAAACUCAUUCUCGAGAUCAAAAAAAUAAAAAAAUAAAAAAGAAGACCAAAAGGUCUCCAGUUAGUUGAAUAAACGAGCAGGAUGGCUCAAAGUAGUAGUUUGAAUAAAGGGU
rnacentral:lncRNA from 1 species